rfam:Vulcanisaeta sp. JCHS_4 scf1118686607200, whole genome shotgun sequence.
GCCCCGGUAGUAUAGCCCGGUUCAGUAUGCGGGCCUGUCGUCCAUGGUCUCAGCCAUAAAAAUUGGGCAGAAAGCCCGUGACCCGGGUUCAAAUCCCGGCCGGGGCG